rnacentral:rRNA from 1 species
CCUACGGGAGGCAGCAGUGGGGAAUUUUGGACAAUGGACGCAAGUCUGAUCCAGCCAUGCCGCGUGCGGGAAGAAGGCCUUCGGGUUGUAAACCGCUUUUGUCAGGGAAGAAACGGCCUGGGUUAAUACCUUGGGCUAAUGACGGUACCUGAAGAAUAAGCACCGGCUAACUACGUGCCAGCAGCCGCGGUAA